CGGGGCUUAGUGAUGUCAUCGUCCGGCCCCGCCCCCCGAAGACACCUGCAGCGUCUCCUCUCCGGGCUUCUCCCGGAGAGGAGAUAUACAAUGUCGGAUCAAAGAAUUUUAGCACUGGUUGCUCUGUAUUGAUCUGUUUCAAGUUUUUCCAACUUUCUUCUUGCUCAUGUGACCACAUCCACUCGUUAUCUUUGUCGAACAACCAUCUAAGAGAGGCUGUUCGUUCAGAGAGUUGAGAAAUAAACUUUCCUAAGUCUGGUUUUACACCUUGAUCCGAGACCACGUCGCUCAUAAAGAUCCACAGACAAUAAUGUCAUCCAUCAUUGUUUCAACACCUGGAAUAUGUUCAAAAAUCAUGUGUAUCUUUUUGUGAUAUACUUCUGGAGCAGAAAAUAUUCCAUAUGGUAGUCGAAGAAAUCUGUA